UACGGAGGGUGCGAGCGUUGUCCGGAAUCACUGGGCGUAAAGGGCGCGUAGGCGGCAAUUCAAGUCAUCUGUGAAAUCUCCGGGCUUAACUCGGAACGGUCAGAUGAUACUGCUUUGCUAGAGUGCAGAAGGGGCAAUCGGAAUUCUUGGUGUAGCGGUGAAAUGCGUAGAUAUCAAGAGGAACACCUGAGGUGAAGACGGGUUGCUGGGCUGACACUGACGCUGAGGCGCGAAAGCCAGGGGAGCAAACGGG
rnacentral:rRNA from 1 species